UGGGGAAUAUUGCACAAUGGGGGAAACCCUGAUGCAGCGACGCCGCGUGAACGAAGAAGGUAUUCGUAUCGUAAAGUUCUGUCCUAUGGGAAGAUAAUGAAAGUACCAUAGAAGAAAGCUCCGGCUAAAUACGUGCCAGCAGCCGCGGUAAUACGUAUGGAGCGAGCGUUGUCCGGAAUUAUUGGGCGUAAAGGGUACGCAGGCGGUUUAAUAAGUCGAAUGUUAAAGAUCGGGGCUCAACCCCGCAAAGCAUUGGAAACUGAUAAACUUGAAUAGUGGAGAGGAAAGUGGAAUUCCUAGUGUAGUGGUGAAAUACGUAGAUAUUAGGAGGAAUACCAGUAGCGAAGGCGACUUUCUGGACACAAACUGACGCUGAGGUACGAAAGCGUGGGGAGCAAACAGG
rnacentral:rRNA from 1 species